rnacentral:rRNA from 1 species
GUGGGGAAUCUUGCGCAAUGGGCGAAAGCCUGACGCAGCCAUGCCGCGUGAAUGAUGAAGGUCUUAGGAUUGUAAAAUUCUUUCACCGGGGACGAUAAUGACGGUACCCGGAGAAGAAGCCCCGGCUAACUUCGUGCCAGCAGCCGCGGUAAUACGAAGGGGGCUAGCGUUGCUGGGAAUUACUGGGCGUAAAGGGCGCGUAGGCGGACAGUUUAGUCAGAGGUGAAAGCCCAGGGCUCAACCUUGGAAUUGCCUUUGAUACUGGCUGUCUUGAGUACGGGAGAGGUGAGUGGAACUCCGAGUGUAGAGGUGAAAUUCGUAGAUAUUCGGAAGAACACCAGUGGCGAAGGCGACUCACUGGCCCGUUACUGACGCUGAGGCGCGAAAGCGUGGGGAGCAAACAGGAUUAGAUACCCUGGUAGUCC